CGCGGAUACCGAGGGGAGGGGGGAGAGAGGGAGGGGGUGCUCGAUGCUGCGAAGAAUAAAUAUAUAAAACAUAUCACUAUGAACGCGAUCAGAAGUCCAGCUUUUUCGUAUCUACAAAUUAUUAUCUCGUCGACAAAAAGGAACUAUUACAAAAAAAAAUAACAGAUCCACACAACACAAUGGCACGUUAGCCACGUUAGCUCAACACUGCUAGCCAAACGCUGUUAGCUAAACAAUGUUAGCUUCGUCCGGCAGCAGCAGUUUGGCGCCAAUUCGAGGCUGACAGAAAAACGACCUUAUCAAGACAAGAGACGCGCAUCUCCGCUCGUUCAUUCAGAAGGUAUUUUAGAUGAGAGAAAAUGGAUACAAUCACACAAGAAGAUUACAGUCCAAACACUGAGAGUGAGCUUACUUCACCAUUUCCCCCCAAACGGCCGAGGACAGACUGUACACACAACAACGGUGGCAAAAGCAGUUUUGCAUUUCCGGAACUUGUGACGUUUUGGAAAACCGUCGGCUCCUCAUCAUCGACAAGUACCUGGCAGGAAAAUGCAGGUUUACUACGCGCAGCAGAAGGUGGUGAUAUGGAAGAGCAACUACAAGACGCUCCAUUUAUUGUCAUUCCUAUUGCGAGCUUGACUACGUCACACACUGGAUCGUCUGACGUCAGCUCAAUCUCUGCAGAGAGAUGCUUCAAACUUCUGGUGAGAGAUGAGCAGCCUCCAAUCCCUCCAACCGACAAACUCAGCUCCACCGUGCCAGAUGAUGAAGAUCGGGCUGUAGCAGAGACCUGCACUUCGAAAGAAGGCAACGCUGAUACGUCCAGUCAGCCUGAUAGCAAACUGCUGGGGGAAGCGUGUGAAGACGAGGCGCUUGGAAAUAACAGCGCUGGAGCACUGGUGCAGAAUAGUGCCAGUCAAAUCCAAGCAUUGCAGGUCAGUUCAAGCGACUAUGGGCUCAGAUAUCAGUCUGGUUGCACUUCUGAAAAUGAAAGUAAUCAGGAGUGGCAAGAGCCUGGAUUCACAGAGACUAUCGUAUUCAGCGAGGAAGAUACAGUCUUAUAUCUUUCACUGAUUCUUUCUACUCAAACCCACAACGCUCAGGGAACUUAGCACAGAUUUGUGAAAAUAUUGCUAUAUGUAAGCAGGAAACAGAAGACCAAGUCAAUGAGAAUUGCACGAGCAUGAACUCCCCAUGAACCAGAAGGAUCAAUUGUUUCUUAUGAUGUUGUUUCACUCAGAAACAUUCCAAUUGAGAGGUUGAGUCUUGAUGCUGAUGACUUCUGUGGGGAAAAAGGAGAAGAGGCUGGUGCUAAGAUGAUAGCCCGAGCUCAGAGCAAAACGUCUGAUCACACGACAGGGACUCCCGUGCCUGCACAAAUCUGUCAAGGGCCUGCUGAAGGAGAUAAUGAUGCAAGUCCUUUCGCUGUAAUUGAACCUGCAAUCUGGAGUGAAACUGACAGGGAGGAAGAGAAGAGCUGCAACUCAGGGAGCGCUGCCGCCGGUGUACAAUCACUUCCAUCAGUAAAAGUCUGCACCAUGGAAACCCCUCUCCCCCUCUGCGCCCACGUCCGGCUAUCAAAGGAGGUUUUAACCCUCAACCAGAAUGGAAAGUCAGAUCACCAAAGCCUUACGCAGCAGCGCGAAGAUGGAAAAGAGGACUUAUGUCAGUCAUUCACUGAACCACUGGCUGGUUCUAUCACCACCAACGAAACACACAACAACAGCAGCUGUCACGGGGAAACCGGAGUCAGCCAUGAUACUGUGGGGCAUCAGUUGAAAGAGUCAGAUCGGUCCGGCUGUUUUCAUGUCAGUCCUGAACGAAUGAAGACAAAGGAGGUUGAAUAUUUACAGGCUGAAAUCACCAGAACGGACGGGACAACUGAGAUAAAAGAAAACGGAGGAAUGACAAGUUUUGAAGAAGAAAUAAGAACCGGUGAGCAACCAGAAAACUCCCAGGACACAGAAGAAGCAACGGAAACAUCAUCUGGUAAUUCCAUCAGGCACCGGACCGAAGGCAAAACUAGUAAAUAUGACGACAAACUAACACAUGUGGAUGACGCGUUGAAAAAUAUACUUGGAUUUCUGUCUGAUCACCCCUACAAUGCUGUGAUUUUACCAACGGAAGAAGCAGCGGGUGAAGAGGAAAGAAAAGAAGAGGCAAGUGUGGGUGCAGAACGCGACAUGUACGGUAGCUCGGAGAUAGUUGUGGAACGGGAGAAGGAAGACAUGCCUGAGGAAUGGAUCAGUGAACGGACAGAGGGACACAAUUUAACCCUGGGGAGUCAACGUGAACAAGAACACAAGCUCAGUUGUGUCUCGGACUUUCAACACACAGCUGAGACAUACGUGGUUGAUAAUAGAGAUGACCCUUCGACCUUGACUGCCUUCCCCUUCAACGGACGUCUGCCAGGAGGAAUUGACACGUUCGAAAGGAUCCAACUCUCCCUGGAUGGUGAUGAAGACGGCCUGAGCGAGAGCCUUCUCCUCAGCAGCCUACCUGAGCAGCUGCUGACAUCACCUCAGCAACAGCUCCAUAAGCACGAGGAGGUACCGCAGGAGGAAGAGGAGGAAACAUCUGGUCGUCACCCUGAGAACAAGGCAAAGGGCUUUUCAGGCAUCUAUAGCAUGUGUAAUGAAGUCCCCGACUGGAUCUCAGCAGCAGCAGAAGACAUCGCUCUCGUACGUCCAGAGCAACCGGCAAACUGUGGGAGGACUCACAACUCCCCCGAGUGCUUCCAGGGCGACUUCCAGUCCAGUGUUCCCCCCAGCAGCGAGGGUCCAGCCUCUGACGUAGACGACAGUCUGACCUUUGAGAAGAAAGAGCUGUUCAACAAGGUCUUGAAAGAGCUGAACCUGUUUUUUAGCAUCAGCACAAGUGAUUUCACAAGAGACAGCGGUGCAUCGUCCUCUGAGCAGUGUGUUCGUGUGUCUGGAGCCUCGGAUCGAGACAACUGCAAAGAAGAUCUCAGCAUCGCAAAACUAGGAUGCUAUGGAGACCCAUCGCCAGACUCCGGCCUGGAAAUGUGUGCUGGGGAUCCAGAUGUUUCUCCUACCUGUGAAGGCGAGCAGGAGGUUCCCCUCGGCAGCCAUCUGUGCACCGAGGAGACUCACAAAGAGCCCCCGCAGAGGAAGAGAUGGUCUCCGUCCUUCCCGGGUCCCCCUCUCCUGGAACAACUGGGCUACAGACAGCCGGAGCAGACGAGGCGGCUGGAGCCUCUGCGAACAUGCAACCGGCCCAUCCGGGUCGGACUCUCAAAGAGAGCCAAGACCAAACACCUGCACCCCCCGCCCUGCCGGGGGGCUUCGCUGCCUUAAACAGGACGGAGCGACGAGUGAUGGCUGUUCAUGUGUUGUGUUCUCUGCUUCAUCGCUCUCCAGGCUCCGGUUCCUGCUUCUUUAUUCAGGUUAUACGCUAAUAAGCCAGAUGCUGCUGCCAAGUAAGGAAUCCUGCUCUGUGUCCACAUUGUCCCUGCUCAAAGUAGUAUUCUAGUUUUCAUAUCUUCCCCAAUUUUUAUGCACUGAUCUAUUUAUAUAUUUAUGUAUUUAUUGGCUUUCUUUCAACCCAGAUUAGGGUUGAAAAAAGCACAUAUAUGUUAUUAGGGCAAAACUCAAUUCCUAGUUCUUUGAAUUAGUUGUGACGUGUAAUCGUUUGCUCUCUGCUGUAACGUCUUCUCUGUGCAACGUGUUCCGUGGAACGUCACUGCGAGUUGAAUGUGAAAAUAACCAGUUCCCCAUUCAAUUAAAUACUGUACUUGCAUACAAACGUGUUUUUAAUAUAUAUAUAUACACACACAUGACUCUUUUGGCAACACAUGAAUUAACAUCAAUGAGCUGGUUCCAAAUGAACGUCUCCAGUCGCUGCUCGGGCUCCGAGGCGGUCCGGCUGAGCUCCCAGGUGGACGAUGGACUCAGCUGUUGUGGUAAGUGGUAAGAGAGCUAUUUGGUCUACCUCCUGAAUGGGAACGGGGGGGGAGGUUGGUUGUUUAUCCUCACGUGCGCGGGUGAGACAGAUCCAGGGACAGUAGUGAGGAAAACAACAGGACAGCAGCCAUGUCAGUGAACAAUGGAUCCAUGUUCCCUUCACUGGAAGUCCUCUUUGUAAAAGAGCAGAAUGAAAAUGCAGAAAUGACAUCACACGAUUCUUUUAUCUGUAUAACGACUAAUUAGGACUUCUUCCCCUGCUGGAGCCCCGCAGGGUAUUUUACCAAAGCAAUUUGAGUUUGUUGUAUUCACCGAUGUUUCCCACGACUUUGGAAUAACAUUCGUGUCCCGAUCACGUCUGAGAUUUUUCUGGUGUAUAAUUUAGGUUCAGUGAGCAAGUUGCCUCAGCUGGCAGCCCGAUCAAAGGAAACACAGAGGUAUGGCUUUCCAAAAUAAUUGGAUUCUAGUGGAACACUUUGAAUGUGGCUGCAGCCUUGUGGAUUUGAUUCAUCCCCAGUAGAUAAUGGCUCAGUCACUGUUAGUUCUGCCCUGUGUGUUGGCCUGUUUGAAAUGGACAUUUUUUAACCCCUUUAGCUUAAAGCAUACUUCAUUCAACCAUUGGUGAUCAUUUGUAUUCCACUACAAUUGACAUUACUCUAAACACGCCAUGUUGCGUGUACAUCUGGAACAUGUUUCCUCCAUUUGUUGUCUUACUGCACACGCACAUGCCAGUAAUCUUCCGGGUUUUAGUUACAGCUCACUUGAGGUGCAGUGGAGGGUGUCUCCUAUGCACCAUUCUUACAUAACAGUCGCAUUUUCAAACUAUUCCAACAGCAUUAAAGUUAAUGAGCCAUACUAUUAUUACAAGGACGCCUCUGCUGUGUGUUCUUGUCUGCAUACGUGGGCACAUUUCACAGGAGCUUUUGUGAAUUUUGGAAAUACAGCGACUGCUUCUGCUAAUGUAAGAGCGUCUUGUCUACAAUAGAAUGAAUAAUACAUUAGUUUAAGUCAUUUUCAUGAGAUUGAGUAUUUUUUAUAAGUAUGUAGUCUAUUAUUACCAUAUGCUCGUGAAAUGUUUCUGAUGUCUUCCCAUGCAGUCCUUGUUUGACACAUCUGUAGCGCGGGAUGGAGUUCUGCACUCUGCACGUCUACCGCCCUCCUGCAGGGGGGGUCAGUGCCGGUCUGCCUCAGGGAUCCUAAGCAGCAUCUUUAUACACAGGGAGCCGCACCUUGGAUUUAUGGCGAUGCCGACACCAGCCGACACCAGCCGACACCAGCCGACACCAGCCGACACCAGCCGACACCAACCGACACCAGCCGACACCAGUGGUCCAAUACAUUUCUGACUCAAUUUAGGGGCCUUCAUGGCUCCUCUGCCUGGUUCCUGCUUUUCUUUAGAAGAAAGUUUUUAGUUUUUUUAGAGCAAGGGUUUUAGAAUUGCAGCCUUUUUUUUAAGCAAAACUAAUAAAUAAUGUAUCCUCUUUGAUACAGAGUAUGAAGGGUGUUUUAGCACCUUCAGCUCAUUGUCUUGGUUUCAAAGCCUCGGAGCUCUCAUGAACACAAUUACCUGCCAUGAAAUCCCAACGUGCACCGGCUGCACAGCACCAGAACAUCAGAGCCAACAGGGGGCGACGCCUCCGAUCCCAUAGACGUCUAUGAGAUUACUCUGCUCCUCUCUUGGUUUAUUCCUCACUGGCAAUGUGAGUUUACGGUCUCAACCUCUAGCUUCAAUUCAGCCUUCGGUUUCUUCUGUAAACGACGGUCCGUUUGGAGUCAAACGGAGCAUAAACGCUUUAGGGCGGGGCUACAUUUUGAUUGGCACAUCACCACCACGGCAUUCCUAAUUCUUUUCUUGUAACGUUACCUCCUCAACUACUUUCAUUUGAUGAAAGGUUAUUACAACAUGUUAGUUGCCUACACGUGACUUAUUCAGCAUUACUGACACAUUUCUAAAUACAUGUUUGUAAUUCUGUCACUGUAUCCGUCGUUCCCUCCUCAGUGGAUUCAGCAGGACAUCGUGAGCUGUACAGAAACUAAGACCUGAAUGUCUUCAAUGUAACUCUUUAAUGUUGGGAGCACAGCAAAUGAAAUCCCCUUCGUGUACAUUGUAACAAAUACAACCAAGACCGUCUUCAUGGCUUGAUAACACUUAGUGAGAGACAAUGUUGCUCAUUUGUGAAGGAAUCAUGAAUGGAAGAUUAAAAACAUCUCAAAUCCGUCUCUCCAGUCUGUUUUACGCUUCAUGAGCAAAAUGAACCCUGACACAUUCGUCCCUGUCUGACAGUUCACCACUUGAGCCUCUCAAAGGGAAUUAUGUGGGAUUAGCAUGACGCCUUUACAUGGAUCCUGCUGCCAUUUACAUUCUGAGCCUCUCUGUGGGAAACGGAAUAUUGGAACAUUGUUUCUUCUAAUAUACAAGAACAGAAACGGCAUUGAAAGGUGUGUUAACCCACAGAUGAUGACGAGAUGGAACGGCGCCAUGGAACACGAGUUGAAACAUCAACACGGACUGAGAAAGCCCCUCUGGUGACGUCGGGGGGGGGCAGAGACAGCGCUGUGAGCGGAAGACCAGGAUUACUAUUGAGAAAAACACAAUCUUCACCUAGAAUGGUUCAAUAUGACAUUAAGGCUGUGAUGUAUUUCUCUAAUGUUCUCUAUUAUU
ensembl:lncRNA